rnacentral:rRNA from 1 species
GGGUUGUGAGGUUAAGCGACUAAGCGUACACGGUGGAUGCCCUGGCAGUCAGAGGCGAUGAAGGACGUGCUAAUCUGCGAUAAGCGUCGGUAAGGUGAUAUGAACCGUUAUAACCGGCGAUUUCCGAAUGGGGAAACCCAGUGUGAUUCGUCACACUAUCAUUAACUGAAUCCAUAGGUUAAUGAGGCGAACCGGGGGAACUGAAACAUCUAAGUACCCCGAGGAAAAGAAAUCAACCGAGAUUCCCCCAGUAGCGGCGAGCGAACGGGGAGCAGCCCAGAGCCUGAAUCAGUGUGUGUGUUAGUGGAAGCGUCUGGAAAGGCGCGCGAUACAGGGUGACAGCCCCGUACACAAAAAUGCACAUGCUGUGAGCUCGAUGAGUAGGGCGGGACACGUGGUAUCCUGUCUGAAUAUGGGGGGACCAUCCUCCAAGGCUAAAUACUCCUGACUGACCGAUAGUGAACCAGUACCGUGAGGGAAAGGCGAAAAGAACCCCGGCGAGGGGAGUGAAAAAGAACCUGAAACCGUGUACGUACAAGCAGUGGGAGCACGCUUAGGCGUGUGACUGCGUACCUUUUGUAUAAUGGGUCAGCGACUUAUAUUCUGUAGCAAGGUUAACCGAAUAGGGGAGCCGAAGGGAAACCGAGUCUUAACUGGGCGUUAAGUUGCAGGGUAUAGACCCGAAACCCGGUGAUCUAGCCAUGGGCAGGUUGAAGGUUGGGUAACACUAACUGGAGGACCGAACCGACUAAUGUUGAAAAAUUAGCGGAUGACUUGUGGCUGGGGGUGAAAGGCCAAUCAAACCGGGAGAUAGCUGGUUCUCCCCGAAAGCUAUUUAGGUAGCGCCUCGUGAAUUCAUCUCCGGGGGUAGAGCACUGUUUCGGCAAGGGGGUCAUCCCGACUUACCAACCCGAUGCAAACUGCGAAUACCGGAGAAUGUUAUCACGGGAGACACACGGCGGGUGCUAACGUCCGUCGUGAAGAGGGAAACAACCCAGACCGCCAGCUAAGGUCCCAAAGUCAUGGUUAAGUGGGAAACGAUGUGGGAAGGCCCAGACAGCCAGGAUGUUGGCUUAGAAGCAGCCAUCAUUUAAAGAAAGCGUAAUAGCUCACUGGUCGAGUCGGCCUGCGCGGAAGAUGUAACGGGGCUAAACCAUGCACCGAAGCUGCGGCAGCGACGCUGAUGCGUUGUUGGGUAGGGGAGCGUUCUGUAAGCCUGCGAAGGUGUGCUGUGAGGCAUGCUGGAGGUAUCAGAAGUGCGAAUGCUGACAUAAGUAACGAUAAAGCGGGUGAAAAGCCCGCUCGCCGGAAGACCAAGGGUUCCUGUCCAACGUUAAUCGGGGCAGGGUGAGUCGACCCCUAAGGCGAGGCCGAAAGGCGUAGUCGAUGGGAAACAGGUUAAUAUUCCUGUACUUGGUGUUACUGCGAAGGGGGGACGGAGAAGGCUAUGUUGGCCGGGCGACGGUUGUCCCGGUUUAAGCGUGUAGGCUGGUUUUCCAGGCAAAUCCGGAAAAUCAAGGCUGAGGCGUGAUGACGAGGCACUACGGUGCUGAAGCAACAAAUGCCCUGCUUCCAGGAAAAGCCUCUAAGCAUCAGGUAACAUCAAAUCGUACCCCAAACCGACACAGGUGGUCAGGUAGAGAAUACCAAGGCGCUUGAGAGAACUCGGGUGAAGGAACUAGGCAAAAUGGUGCCGUAACUUCGGGAGAAGGCACGCUGAUAUGUAGGUGAAGUCCCUCGCGGAUGGAGCUGAAAUCAGUCGAAGAUACCAGCUGGCUGCAACUGUUUAUUAAAAACACAGCACUGUGCAAACACGAAAGUGGACGUAUACGGUGUGACGCCUGCCCGGUGCCGGAAGGUUAAUUGAUGGGGUUAGCGCAAGCGAAGCUCUUGAUCGAAGCCCCGGUAAACGGCGGCCGUAACUAUAACGGUCCUAAGGUAGCGAAAUUCCUUGUCGGGUAAGUUCCGACCUGCACGAAUGGCGUAAUGAUGGCCAGGCUGUCUCCACCCGAGACUCAGUGAAAUUGAACUCGCUGUGAAGAUGCAGUGUACCCGCGGCAAGACGGAAAGACCCCGUGAACCUUUACUAUAGCUUGACACUGAACAUUGAGCCUUGAUGUGUAGGAUAGGUGGGAGGCUUUGAAGUGUGGACGCCAGUCUGCAUGGAGCCGACCUUGAAAUACCACCCUUUAAUGUUUGAUGUUCUAACGUUGACCCGUAAUCCGGGUUGCGGACAGUGUCUGGUGGGUAGUUUGACUGGGGCGGUCUCCUCCUAAAGAGUAACGGAGGAGCACGAAGGUUGGCUAAUCCUGGUCGGACAUCAGGAGGUUAGUGCAAUGGCAUAAGCCAGCUUGACUGCGAGCGUGACGGCGCGAGCAGGUGCGAAAGCAGGUCAUAGUGAUCCGGUGGUUCUGAAUGGAAGGGCCAUCGCUCAACGGAUAAAAGGUACUCCGGGGAUAACAGGCUGAUACCGCCCAAGAGUUCAUAUCGACGGCGGUGUUUGGCACCUCGAUGUCGGCUCAUCACAUCCUGGGGCUGAAGUAGGUCCCAAGGGUAUGGCUGUUCGCCAUUUAAAGUGGUACGCGAGCUGGGUUUAGAACGUCGUGAGACAGUUCGGUCCCUAUCUGCCGUGGGCGCUGGAGAACUGAGGGGGGCUGCUCCUAGUACGAGAGGACCGGAGUGGACGCAUCACUGGUGUUCGGGUUGUCAUGCCAAUGGCACUGCCCGGUAGCUAAAUGCGGAAGAGAUAAGUGCUGAAAGCAUCUAAGCACGAAACUUGCCCCGAGAUGAGUUCUCCCUGACUCCUUGAGAGUCCUGAAGGAACGUUGAAGACGACGACGUUGAUAGGCCGGGUGUGUAAGCGCAGCGAUGCGUUGAGCUAACCGGUACUAAUGAACCGUGAGGCUUAACCUUACAACGCCGAAGCUGUU